ACACGAGAAGGGAGGUGGUUCGGCCAAUGAUCAAGUACCGGACGCGUGAGGUGGCUGCGGGCUAGCGGCCCGUCGCUUCACCGAAGUGCGGUGCCGGACCCGCGCACACCAGGAACGCUGGUGCGCAGCCGGCCCAAUUCCCAGCAGUCACCCGACCCGCGGGCCGCCGGUUCGUCCGACCGGCCCUUCGCGCCACCGAGCGCGGAGGACACGGCCCGCGGGUCGUCUGCG
rnacentral:sRNA from 1 species